UACGAAGGGGGCUAGCGUUGCUCGGAAUCACUGGGCGUAAAGCGCACGUAGGCGGGUCCUUAAGUCAGGGGUGAAAUCCCGGAGCUCAACUCCGGAACUGCCUUCGAUACUGAGGAUCUCGAGUCCGGGAGAGGUGAGUGGAACUGCGAGUGUAGAGGUGAAAAUUCGUAGAUAUUCGCAAGAACACCAGUGGCGAAGGCGGCUCACUGGCCCGGUACUGACGCUGAGGUGCGAAAGCGUGGGGAGCAAACAGGG
rnacentral:rRNA from 1 species